rnacentral:misc_RNA from 1 species
AUUAUUAUUAUUAUCAUUGUUAUUAUCAUUACUAUUACUAUUAUUUAUCCAAUUUAAUUUAAAUCAAUUGAAACAAUUCCUAAAAAAGUUAGACAUUUUUUUAAACAAAAUCACUUUCCUCACCUCUCUUCCCUCAUGAAAGUGAGGGAAUAGGGGGAGGCAGAGUUCACAGCCCGAACAGGCGGGGGAGGGCUUAGCCCGGCCGGCUUCUCUCCCUGACUCUGCGCCCCUUAUUAUAUGAAUGGUAUAAAAAAAUAUGAAAAGGAGGAUUCUAAACCAAAUCACUUUUAUGAAUGCUUUUUUUUUUUAAA